CAACCCUUAUCCUUUGUUGCCAGCGGUCAGGCCGGGAACUCAAAGGAGACUGCCAGUGAUAAACUGGAGGAAGGUGGGGAUGACGUCAAGUCAUCAUGGCCCUUACGACCAGGGCUACACACGUGCUACAAUGGCGCAUACAAAGAGAAGCGACCUCGCGAGAGCAAGCGGACCUCAUAAAGUGCGUCGUAGUCCGGAUUGGAGUCUGCAACUCGACUCCAUGAAGUCGGAAUCGCUAGUAAUCGUGGAUCAGAAUGCCACGGUGAAUACGUUCCCGGGCCUUGUACACACCGCCCGUCACACCAUGGGAGUGGGUUGCAAAAGAAGUAGGUAGCUUAACCUUCGGGAGGGCGCUUACCACUUUGUGAUUCAUGACUGGGGUGAAGUCGUAACAAGGUAACCGUAGGGGAACCUGC
rnacentral:rRNA from 1 species